UAGCUUUAAGAAAAUUAUUUAAGGUUUUACCUGCCCAGUGAAAAUUUUAACGGCCGCAGUACUUUGACUGUGCUAAGGUAGCAUAAUAAAUUGGCUUUUAAUUAAAGUCGGGUAUGAAAGGGAUCACGGAAAGUAACUGUCUCAAGUAUAUAUAAUUUUAAUUUAAUCAAUGGGUGAAAAUUCCCAUAGUAAUUUACAUUAGACGAGAAGACCCUAAGAGUUAUAAUUAAGAUGAAUAUAUUUUCAUGUAUCAUUUUUGUUGGGGCAACAUAGACUGGAUUAAACCGUCAUGAAUUAAUUUUACAUAACAGUUAUAUUUAAAAAGAAAUAAACUACCUUAGGGAUAACAGCAUAAUUAAUUUUUAGAUUGUGACCUCGAUGUUGGAUUAAGGACUUUGUUUACUAGCCGUAAACCAAGAUAGUUCUGUUCGAACUGUAAUACCUU
rnacentral:rRNA from 1 species